UGCUAAUGAGUUUGUUUACACGAAUUAAACAGCGAAACCACCAGGGACCUGCCUCUCCUGCUUUGUGACUUUGUAGUUUCUCUCUCUGAAGUGAGGCAGGCAGCGAAUGUGCUGCCUGGAGCCUCUGUCUGAAGGCCCCGGGCUCUGGCGGCCCCCUGGGAUCUGCUGGGCCUGCAGCCCCACCCAGGAGUGUUUCCAGGCCAGUCUAACAGGUUCUGAGGAGCUUGUGCACCAGCCCUUCCCGGUCUGUCCAGACUCCUGGCGUUCCGCUGGGGCCAGGGUGGGAGGUGUGCUGAGCUUCUAGCAAGUUAAGACAUGUUAUUUCCUUGACAUGGACAACAAGAGAAUCUCUCCCUGCUGGACACAGCCCACCCUCUCUGUUGGGAAAUCCUGGUGAAGUAUCACAUAAACUUUUCCAGUGAAAGCAGACAGGUGAGGACACCUGAAACCCGCCUCGGCUUCCUUGCUCGCCUCAGCACUGUUCUGAGUGUGAAAUGAAAGUGCGUGACUGACUUUGACAGUCGGGAUUAAUCCUUCUCAGUAAAUUUUUAAAAGCACAGAGGGGACUUUGGGGGUACCCAGCGAGAGUGGUAGUGUCCGGAAAGUAUGUUCACAUUUAUAUUUAACCAAUAUUAUUAGACUUGUUUGUAUUUGAAACAUACUAGUAUUUCUAGAAAAGCCAGUUUUGUACUGAAAGUGUAAAAUUUAGAGAGCCUUAAAAAAUUACCAAAAUAAAAACAGUAUUAAAAGUCUGU
rnacentral:lncRNA from 1 species